rnacentral:sRNA from 1 species
UGUUUUUUCUCUUGUUUUGUU